UACGGAGGAUCCAAGCGUUAUCCGGAAUCAUUGGGUUUAAAGGGUCCGUAGGCGGUCUAGUAAGUCAGUGGUGAAAGCCCAUCGCUCAACGGUGGAACGGCCAUUGAUACUGCUAGACUUGAAUUAUUAGGAAGUAACUAGAAUAUGUAGUGUAGCGGUGAAAUGCUUAGAGAUUACAUGGAAUACCAAUUGCGAAGGCAGGUUACUACUAAUGGAUUGACGCUGAUGGACGAAAGCGUGGGGAGCGAACAGG
rnacentral:rRNA from 1 species